rnacentral:rRNA from 1 species
UGGGGAAUUUUGGACAAUGGGCGCAAGCCUGAUCCAGCCAUGCCGCGUGCGGGAAGAAGGCCUUCGGGUUGUAAACCGCUUUUGUCAGGGAAGAAAUCUUCUGAGUUAAUACCUCGGGAGGAUGACGGUACCUGAAGAAUAAGCACCGGCUAACUACGUGCCAGCAGCCGCGGUAAUACGUAGGGUGCAAGCGUUAAUCGGAGUUACUGGGCGUAAAGCGUGCGCAGGCGGUUUUGUAAGACAGAGGUGAAAUCCCCGGGCUCAACCUGGGAACUGCCUUUGUGACUGCAAGGCUUGAGUGUGGCAGAGGGGGGAUGGAAUUCCGCGUGUAGCAGUGAAAUGCGUAGAUAUGCGGNGGAAACACCGAUGGCGAAGGCAAUGCCCUGGGCCUGCACUGACGCUCAUGCACGAAAGCGUGGGGAGCAAACAGAUUAGAUACCCUGGUAGUCCACGCCCUAAAACGAUGUCAACUGGUUGUUGGGAAGGUUCCUUCUCAGUAACGUAGCUAACGCGUGAAGUUGACCGCCUGGGGAGUACGGCCGCAAGGUUGAAACUU